CUCACUCACUCACAUUCGGGUACAAAUGGAAAUCUCCACAAAUUUCGCUGUGUAACUGUCAAAAUUUUCACCAAAAUCCUACUGAUGAGAAUCGCCUCCAUGGUCAUUAAAACAGUCCAGCUACGACGGACCAACAUGCUUCUCCAUCUCGAUCUCCCUUGGUCUCGGUGUUGAACUCCACCGCCACCGAGGCUCCCGUAGCACCGGCGUUUCUACCUACAUGCCACUCGAUCUCGAUUCCCCUUGAUCUCGGUGGACCAAGUAGAACUCUGCGUGUUAGACUGAACACUGGGCCAAGAUCUGGCCCUGGUGCCCCCACUGCCACCGAGGCUCCCGUAGCAGCGGCGUUGCGACCUACAUGCCACUCGAUCUCGAUCCCCCUUGGUCUCGGUGGACCAAGUACAACUCUUCGUGUUAGACUGAACACUAGGCCAAGAUCUGCCGCAGGUGCCCCCACCGCCACCGAGGCUCCCGUAGCCUCCGUUGGAUGCAGUCGCAGUGGUAGUCACUUUCGACGGCUCCGAAUCUUCACUGGUGGUAAGAACCUUGGGCCGCCACCUGCUGUAUGAAAGUUUUUUAGAUUUUUCUCAGAUAGUGGAGAUAUUCAAUUCAAGCCUCGCGUUGAACCAUGGGACCCCGCUCCAUUUUUAUAAAUAAUGUCUCUUCCUUGUCUUUCGUCGGACGCGGAUAUUCUAAAACGGGCACAAUUGGGAUAUUGUGAUGUGCAAGGCAGCCUUUAUUUGUUCUCAUAAAUUCUCAGCACUACUUCGUCCAUCAGGCGAUCGAUAAAAUAUCUAAACCAAAAUUCAACCUCCAACUAUGACUUUUGACGUUUCUGGGUACACCGCAACCUCCAACCUCCGGCAACUGUUGUCGAGGCAGCUCCAGCGGACCCUCACCUCCAGCUUCGGCUGUUGAGGCACACUUGGUGCGGGAUAGGCACCAGAGUUGUGCCACAACGGAGUGGCCAUGGGAUUCGGAAGGAAAACCAAAAUAUUUAUUAAACUUGCCGAGAUUAGUAUUGGUUUCGAGAUUGUUUCUAGAAAUUAAGAACGUGGCUCCUUGCAGUCAGUUUAGAGCACACCACCUAUGUUGCUGAAUAAAAUUCCUCAUCCACAUUGAAAGAGAUUUCCUGUUGCUUAAUAAGUUGUUCUGUGUCAAACUGGGUUGGUUGAAUCCUGUCGUCCUCAAGGUGCUAAUCUGCUGAGCAAAUGUCAGAAUCUAGCGAUCCACAUAUUCAUCUACGUAGUAACAACCUUCCAGGCUCGUUGAAAGUGGCUCAAAAUGAUUGAACCUCAUCCAACUUGGAUGCUACAUGUGAGCUACAUUUUGUUAACCUUGAUGUAUCUUGUUGGAGUCACUCGGUGAGGCAGAGCUGCAAACUAGGCUUGUUGGUGGAGAAAGUGAGGCGAAUCUGUGAACUAAAUUCGUUGACGAAGAAAGGCUCACCAAGGUGGUUCCUAGAAAAGGGACUAUUGGGGUCGGUUUCUCGGGGCUAUCAAAUAAUUAUGAUGAGGCCCUCAGUUUCAGGAAAUUAUGAAGACUGAUGGUUUCAGGAAAUUAUUGGAGUGUGAUUACUUGUUCAAUGUAAUUUAUUUUGGGAAUUCAAUGUAGAUGUGUGUAAUUUAUUUUGGGAAUUAAAUCCCUAUAUAGUUAAAACUCAAUCUAGCAAUAUUGAUUUUGGGAAAAAUAUCUUAAUAAUUAAUAAUAAGUCCUGAUAUCUUAGGAUAGAUCGA